AACAACUGCACAACACAAAACCACAACACCUGUACAACACAACGCCACCAAACCUUCACCUCACCACCACAAUAUAAACAUCUUGCCGGUUUUUACAACACACUCGGUCAUGGACUGAGAGAGGAGACGAAGAGGAACAGCCAAGGUUGUCUCGUGAGCAGUAACACCUGAUCCUGACUACAGGAGCGGCUGGGUGAGAAGGUGCCAAGCGGUGUGACUCCCUCGGAUGGCUGUUCCAAAUCAACACCGUGACUUCGAUCAAACAAUACUGCUCAUCUAGUCUUUCUCUCUCACGGCUGUUUGAUACCUGAAGACGGAGAAGAAGGUGAAGAGAGGAGAAGAGAAGAGAGGAGAAGAGAAGAGAAGAGAAGAGAAGAGACAGUGCAAAAUAUUUAUCUUUAUUAAAUGGUUAUCGAAAGUGAAAAACAAAAUUAACAUGUGGGAUGUCCAAAAAUAUUACUUGAACAAAGACGAAAAUAUAAGAUAACAAUGUCGAGAACAAUGAACAUCACCCUUAUGAACUCUCUGAGACUGAACACAUGACAAACGUUCACUAAAAUAUGUAAUAGUUAUUUGAAUUACAUAACAAUAUAUAACAGCAGAACAAAUGGUGAGGGAGAGGAAAUUACACCUCCACCCUCUCAAGAUGGUGAUAGUGGUGGAGAUAGUGUGGUUGUUGGUGAUGGUGGUGGUAGUGACGUGUAGGACGGAGAUUGUGAGUGAGAUAACAGGAGCACCAACAACACCAUUAACAGGAAAGAUAGUGACCUCAAUCACCAGGCAUUACCAGGGGGACGUCUACUCACUAACAGAUAUGGGCGAGUGUGGGUGUGUGGAGGGCGGCGGGGUGGUGACGAUGGGCCCGGGGGAAGGGUGCCAGUGCCUGUGCCCGCCCACCAAGCCCACUUUCAGGGAUAACUCCGCUACCUG